rnacentral:rRNA from 1 species
CAUAACCCUCUCUAAGGAACUCGGCAAAAUAACUCCGUACCUUCGGAAGAAGGAGUACCUUUUCAAGGUUGCAAUAACAAGGUCCAAGCGACUGUUUACCAAAAACACAGGUCUCCGCAAAGUUGUAAAACGACGUAUGGGGGCUGACGCCUGCCCAGUGCCGGAAGGUUAAAGAAGUUAGUUAACUCUCGAGUGAAGCUGAUGACCGAAGCCCCGGUGAACGGCGGCCGUAACUAUAACGGUCCUAAGGUAGCGAAAUUCCUUGUCGGGUAAGUUCCGACCCGCACGAAAGGCGUAACGAUUUGGACACUGUCUCGGAGAGGGACUCGGUGAAAUAGACUUGUCUGUGAAGAUGCGGACUACCUGCACCUGGACAGAAAGACCCUAUGAAGCUUUACUGUAACUUGAGACUGAUUUUGGGCUGUAUUUGCGCAGCAUAGGUGGGAGGCUUUGAAACUAAACUUACGGGAGUAGUGGAGCCAUUCGUGAGAUACCACUCUGAUACAGCUAGAACUCUAACCUUUUUCCGUAAGCCGGUAAAGGAACACUCUCAGGUGGGCAGUUUGACUGGGGCGGUCGCCUCCUAAAAAGUAACGGAGGCGCACAAAGGUUUCCUCAGAUCGGUCAGACAUCGAUCUUCGAGUGUAAAGGCAAAAGGAAGCUUGACUAUGAGACUCACACGUCAAACAGAGACGAAAGUCGGUCUUAGUGAUCUGGCGAUAUUGAGUGGAAAAGUCGUCACUCAACGGAUAAAAGUUACUCUAAGGAUAACAGGCUGAUCUCCCCCAAGAGUUCACAUCGACGGGGAGGUUUGGCACCUCGAUGUCGGCUCAUCGCAUCCUGGGGCGGUAGUACGUCCCAAGGGUUGGGCUGUUCGCCCAUGAAAGCGGUACGUGAGCUGGGUUCAGAACGUCGUGAGACAGUUCGGUCCAUAUCCGGUGUAGGCGUCAGAGUACUGAAAGGACUCUUCCUUAGUACGAGAGGACCAGGAAGAAUACACCGCUGGUGUACCAGUUAUUGUGCCAACAGUAAACGCUGGGUAGCUAUGUGUAGAUCGGAUAACCGCUGAAAGCAUCUAAGUGGGAAGCCAACCUUAAGAUAAGUACUCUCAUCGCAAUUGCGAGUAAGAUCACGGCGAGGCAAGCCGUUUGAUAGGCAUUAAGUAUAAGUGUAGUAAUAUAUUAAGCUAAGAUGUUCUAAUAGAUCGAGGACUUGA